CGGCUUCUGAAAACAAUUUCCAGAAAACAACUUGGUAUUUCCUGACCCUUCCUACCAUUUCCAGAGAAACCAAUCAAAACCCAUAUUUCUGAAAACACACUAACUUUUUCCUUCUUUUUAGCUCAAGCAAACAAGCGGGGAAGUUCGAACACAAAAUUAACCCUAAAGCGGCCAUUAAAGAGGUGCCCUUGAGCAGUAUUUAGAAUUAAACCUUAAAAAUGUACUACUCACGGUAACAUACAAUCGCAAACACCUGAGUAUGGCCUCAAAAUUUUCAUCAUCAUUUGCAGAUGCCGGAUAGGUUCGAAGUUCGAACAGCACACACAAGUAUUCAUCGCACGUAAAAUUUGUAUUCGAUCUUCUCUACAUUUUC
rnacentral:lncRNA from 1 species